CAACCUUGAAUUUUAGUAGUUUUUGAGAUUUGAACCCCCAUUAUUUUUUGUUGACCCAACCCAACAUGUAACUUCAAUAGAAUUACAAAUUUCUCCCACAAAGGUUCAAUAACAAAGAACCGAGGGAUUGCUAUUGAGGCUAAGGUAAACCAUUUUAUCGAACAGCUUGUACGCGCUAGAUACAUCUCCACAAUUAUAUAGCAUAGCAGAGAGUUAUGAUCAAACAUCAACGAGGCAGAAGAAGACGAGGUGUUUGCCAAGGUCGGUGUCGUGAGGUUGAGACGCCAUGUCGGAUUGAAAAAGCCUGGAGAUUGAUGCAUUUCCUGCAGAAACAGAGAGGUUUCCAUAUUUUCCUCUGUUUCGUGAGGGCAUUCUCGUCAAUUGCACUCUUAUUCGAGGGGAUUUACUAAUUUAAUCACAGAACCCUAAAGAGAAAUUCAAUUUUUCUCCACACAAAUUUCAACAACCGCCGCUGUUGUCUGCUCCAAACAAAGAUGAGUCAAGCACAAGGUUCGAGUUUCAUAAUGUCAAACCCCCCCAAGAGAGUUAUGAACUAGUUCUAAGAUGGGUUUUGGAUGUCCGAUUCGUUCUUCUUCAGAUCAAGACUGCCUUUUUUUGGGAGGGGAUUAUGAGCCAUUCGUGACUCUCUUUGCUUAAAAUAACCAAAGCUUUUACCUCUAUGGAACAAGACAAUUCAGCAGUACCUGGAGGUCUCUUGGCAAAAGCUAGGAACUGCUCUGAGAUCAGACACAUUAACAAGCGCAUGCAGUUCGAUGGAAGCCAACUCAAGCUAAACAUAAAAUACAUGCAGAUUAGUUGCUUGUCAAUACCACUUUUGCGAAAUUGUACAAUAAGAGAUUGUCGAUCCUUUUGAUUCCGAACGUUCCCUUACCUUUGUAUGUAUAUGAGCUUUUAAUUUAGUCCGUUUCGUUGGAGUGUUA